UCGAGGGGCAGCAUGAACUUAGCUUGCUAAGUUUGAUGGCGACCGGCGCACGGGUGAGUAACACGUAUCCAACCUGCCGAUGACUCGGGGAUAGCCUUUCGAAAGAAAGAUUAAUACCCGAUGGCAUAGUUCUUCCGCAUGGUAGAACUAUUAAAGAAUUUCGGUCAUCGAUGGGGAUGCGUUCCAUUAGGUUGUUGGCGGGGUAACGGCCCACCAAGCCUUCGAUGGAUAGGGGUUCUGAGAGGAAGGUCCCCCACAUUGGAACUGAGACACGGUCCAAACUCCUACGGGAGGCAGCAGUGAGGAAUAUUGGUCAAUGGACGAGAGUCUGAACCAGCCAAGUAGCGUGAAGGAUGACUGCCCUAUGGGUUGUAAACUUCUUUUAUACGGGAAUAAAGUGAGGCACGCGUGCCUUUUUGUAUGUACCGUAUGAAUAAGGAUCGGCUAACUCCGUGCCAGCAGCCGCGGUAAUACGGAGGAUCCGAGCGUUAUCCGGAUUUAUUGGGUUUAAAGGGAGCGUAGGCGGACGCUUAAGUCAGUUGUGAAAGUUUGCGGCUCAACCGUAAAAUUGCAGUUGAUACUGGGUGUCUUGAGUACAGUAGAGGCAGGCGGAAUUCGUGGUGUAGCGGUGAAAUGCUUAGAUAUCACGAAGACUCCGAUUGCGAAGGCAGCCUGCUGGACUGUAACUGACGCUGAUGCUCGA
rnacentral:rRNA from 1 species